UUAAUUUCUUAUUUGCUUAAUUAUUUAUUUAUUUUAAGGCAUAAUAUAGUUUGCUAUUUUUUUUUACUUAAUUAGCUUAAUUUUGUAGCUCUUUAUUCUUAUAUUCUUAAGAAAUAUAAAUAUUUAUGCUAAUAGCAUAAAUCUUGUGAGAAAACAAAUUUAAUUUAAUAGUUGAAUUUUCCGAAUUUUUAAUUAGUAAACAUAUAAUAUCUGUAUAAAUCACGCAUCCGAAUAAUUGCCAAAUCCGUUUUUUAGCCGUAUUUUUCAACGAAUUUAAAAAUUAGAAACGAAUUUUAUCCGAAUUAUACCCAUAUCGAAUUUUUGCCGAAUCCGAAUUAACUAUGCUUGAGGGUAGACCUGGCAAUCUUAACCCAUAUCCACGGGUUAUCUGCAAAUUUGUGGGUAUAUAUUGGUACCAACUUUUCAAACUCAAAAAAUUACGGAUAAGAUUGAUGGGUACCCAUUAAGUUGUGGGUAUUUUGGAUAACCCGCGGGUACCCACUGAUACCCGCACAUAUAUUUUUUAAUUAAAAAAUAUAUUUUAUUGAUUAAAAAAUAUGUACUUUUUAAUAUUUUCAUCCUAAAAAUUCUAAUCCUAAUUUCUUAUUCCAUGCCUUUUAUAUUAUGAAAUUUUUUUACUUUAAAACUUUAAAUAUUUUUAUUGUAUGUUCUAAUAUUAUAAAUAAUGAUUUAUGCUAUGUUUUUAAAACUUAUAUAUAUGUUUUACAUUUAAAAAGUACAAAAGCGAAAAAAGAAAGAAAAGAAAAAAAAUUGCUGGUAACCGGCAUACCCUCCCGCCUACCAGUGAGAGUGUAAGGAUAAUUAAGAUAUUGGCUACCUAAAAAUUUACGAAUAAAUUUUAUUCAUACUCAAAUAAUUUAUGGGUACAAUGAUCCGUCUACGGAUUACGCAAUUCGUCCGUUUGUCCGGUCUUCUUGAGGGUAAGCAAUAUUUAUUUAAGAAAGAGAGAGAA
rnacentral:lncRNA from 1 species